rnacentral:misc_RNA from 1 species
GCCAAAAAUCAAUAAUCAGACAACAAAAUGUGCGAACUCGAUAUUUUACACGACUCUCUUUACCAAUUCUGCCCCGAAUU